rnacentral:rRNA from 1 species
UACGAAGGGGGCUAGCGUUGCUCGGAAUCACUGGGCGUAAAGCGCACGUAGGCGGAUUGCUAAGUCAGGGGUGAAAUCCUGGAGCUCAACUCCAGAACUGCCUUUGAUACUGGUGAGCUUGAGUCCGGGAGAGGUGAGUGGAACUGCGAGUGUAGAGGUGAAAUUCGUAGAUAUUCGCAAGAACACCAGUGGCGAAGGCGGCUCACUGGCCCGUAACUGACGCUGAGGCACGAAAGCGUGGGGAGCAAACAGG